GGGCCCAUAGCUCAGCUGGUCAGAGCGCCGCCUUUGCACGGCGGAGGUCAGGAGUUCGAAUCUCCUUGGGUCCACCA
rnacentral:tRNA from 1 species